AAAACGGAAAAAAUUAGUUGUAUUUAGGAAGAAUUUAAGGCAGUCUGCGAGUCAUCAGAAUUAUUGAAUAGCGAAAUGACAACUACCGAAUUACACUCAAACGUAAACAUUACUUAAAUAAUUUACGGAAAUAUCAGUGAGUUGCAAACACAGGUGAACACAUAAACAAAUAAGGUGAUGCCUAAAAAGAUACACAUAACGGCAAAAGUAGAAUCUCAAGAUAAACACAUACGUCUACAUGCAUAAAUAUAGAAAUGUACACAUAUUUCAAACAGAUAUUCGAAUGACGAUUUCAAUUGCAUAAUAUGUAGUAUCUUCUUGGUGUACUGCUAAAUUUUAAUUAUUCACUUCAGUAUUGAUUUGCAGUGAUCCAAACGAAUUUAAAAGUUACGCCGAUUUAUAUGUGUGAAUGCAAAAACUCACCCAAAAAUCAGCUGAAGCCGGAACCUUGAUAUCAGCACUUAAUUAAACAGUGUUAAAUUUAGGAAAUUGAAAGAGAUAUAUGUAGGGUAGCUCCCACUAAUAGAAUGCAAAUGGUAAUAUUGUGUAUUUAUUCCUUAGUUUUCUAUUUGCUUUGAGAAUAUUCGUGUUCUUUCCGAUACACUUUUCACUUUAGAUAUACUUUGGUAUUGUUAACUACUUCAGCAAUCAAUUAAAAUCAUAAUGCUCUCAACUUCAACUUUUGCACUUUCUUCACAUUAAUAUAACACUUGCUUUGCGCUGGAGAUAUUCUGAAAUUUCUACACUUCACUUUUAGGAGUCCGUAAAAAUGUGCAGCUGACACCGACGACCGAAUAAUUUGUGUUUGCAAAAUGCUGAAAAUUCCAAACAAUUGCCAGCUGCGUUGCCAACUAUACCACCAAAACUGUAAUUCGAUACUUGAUUUGCAUUUAGGACAUACUAAUGAAAAUCUGAACAUUUUAAAUCCAUAUUGAGGCAUUUUUCUUUAAAAAAAAAUGGUACAUUUAAAUAUUUUUGUUGACCUAUCUUGUCUUAACAUGUGUAUUUUUA